GCACCUGGUGCAUGUGUGUGUGUGUGUGUGUUUAUAUAUACAUACACACACACACACACACACACCCUCAAUAUGAUU